UUGUUGCAGUUAAAAAGCUCGUAGUCGGAUGUCGGGCUCGGGCAGGCUGUCGGCUUCGGUCGGACGGCAGGCUCGGGUCUUUCUGCCUGAGGAUCCCGUUGCACUUAAUUGUGGGGCGUGGGGACGCAGGCCGUUUACUUUGAAAAAAUUAGAGUGUUCAAAGCAGGCCUACGCUUGAAUACAUUAGCAUGGAAUAAUGGAAUAGGACUUUGGUGCUAUUUUGUUGGUUUAUGGGACCGAAGUAAUGAUUAACAGGGACAGUUGGGGCCGUUUAUAUUUCGUUGUCAGAGGUGAAAUUCUUGGAUUUACGAAAGAUAAACUUCUGCGAAAGCAUUCGGCAAGGAUGUUUUCAUUGAUCAAGAACGAAAGUUAGGGGAUCGAAGACGAUCAGAUACCGUCGUAGUCUUAACCAUAAACUAUGCCGACUAGGGAUCAGUGGAUGUCAAUUUGCGACUCCAUUGGCACCUUGUGAGAAAUCAAAGUUUU
rnacentral:rRNA from 1 species